UACGAAGGGGGCUAGCGUUGUUCGGAAUUACUGGGCGUAAAGCGCACGUAGGCGGGUCGUUAAGUCAGGGGUGAAAUCCCGGGGCUCAACCCCGGAACUGCCUUUGAUACUGGUAGUCUCGAGUCCGGAAGAGGUGAGUGGAAUUCCGAGUGUAGAGGUGAAAUUCGUAGAUAUUCGGAGGAACACCAGUGGCGAAGGCGGCUCACUGGUCCGGUACUGACGCUGAGGUGCGAAAGCGUGGGGAGCAAACAGG
rnacentral:rRNA from 1 species